AGUAAUCGCGGGUCAGCUAUACCGCGGUGAAUGUGUUCCUGAGCCUUGUACACACCGCCCGUCAAGCCACGAAAGCGGGGGGCGCCUAAAGUCGGUGAGCUAACCCUCUUCGGAGGGAGGCAGCCGCCUAGGGUGAACUCCGUGAUUGGGACUAAGUCGUAACAAGGUAGCCGUAGGGGAACCUGCGGCUGGAUCACCUCCUUUCUAAGGA
rnacentral:rRNA from 1 species